AACAAAUCCCACCCCACCUUAUCCUCUCGUCACCCACCCUCCUCUCUCUCCUUGUGCUCCUCGAUCAAGUCUACACGCCUCCCGUUCUAGCCCGCCGCCGCACCAUCUCCUCCCCGGCACCACCACACUACUCCCUCCCCGCGCCGUGGCACCAACCCCUCCCCGUGCCGCCGCACCAUCUUCUCCCCUGCACUACCACACCACCUCCCUCCCCGCGCCGUGGCAACACCCCCUCCCCGCGCCGCCGCACCAUCUUCUCCCAAGCACCACCGCACCACCUCACUCUCCGCGCCGUGGCACCACCACCUCCCCACGCCGCCACACCCUCUCCAACCACCUCCCUCCUCGGGCCACCUGCCCCCGCGUCAGCUAGCCAUCGAAUCUGCCCCAUCACCAUCCUCCCACGACUACCCGAUGACAGAUCCGGUUGUAGCCGUCCUGGGGGCGUUAGCAAUGGCCGACUCCAAGGAUUGGAGGGGUUACGUUGAGCUUGGGGGUCGCCGGAGACCCACCCCUCCACCCCUGCCCAGAUCCAUCAGGCGCGUGCCGGUUCUUGCUGCCCACCCCUCCGCCGCCGCACGAGUCGUGCUGUUGACUUUUUUUGUUUUUGCUACAGAAAACUUCAAUGCACCGCGAGGGAUGGCUUCGGGGCUCAUCCGACGUCCUCCGGAUGUGAAUGUUGAAGUCCCUCCCCUCUCUUCCACUACGUUGCCUGAUUCCCUCCAAUUCCUCUAUUUGGCAGCAUGAGCGUGCGGGCGUCCCUGCCCUGCAGCCAGGCGACAGCACCCGUGCAGUCCACAAACGAGGCCAUGAAGUUGAAGAGCGACCGGUGAGGUGGCCCUUUCCAGUGAGAAAAUCAUGCAGUGCUGUCGAGUGUGGCGUGCAGUCUACGGCUCUCACCUGCAGCUCUCUCCUACACUUCUUGUUUGCACGCGGCGGGAGACAAGUGCACUGCACUAUGGUGGCCGGCCGCAUAAUUAUUUCUUUAGUAGUUCAUCUUUGCUGUUUGUUUUAGUUUCACCAUGUUUGUGGUUCCCUUAUGGCAUCUUGUAGUACGUAUUGCAUAUACAUGCAGUUUUUUCUAAUGCGAAGAUAACAAUAUAAUGGUGUAACAGAAAAGUUCUAGAACAAAAGAACACAAAUAGUUAAAAUAAUGCAGUUCA